rnacentral:rRNA from 1 species
UACGUAGGCAGCAAGCGUUGUUCGGAAUUACUGGGCGUAAAGGGUGCGUAGGCGGCUUUUUAAGUUUGGUGUGAAAUCUCCCGGCUCAACUGGGAGGGUGCGCCGAAUACUGAGAAGCUAGAGUGUGGGAGAGGAAAGUGGAAUUCCUGGUGUAGCGGUGAAAUGCGUAGAUAUCAGGAGGAACACCGGCGGUGUAGACGGCUUACUGGACCAUAACUGACGCUGAGGCACGAAAGUGUGGGGAGCAAACAGG